UUUCUGUCCUGCCAAGUGUGCCAGAAGAAACGAUCUUACACCAGGGAGUGGAAAGCAAAGAUGACUUGCAGUACAUAAGAGAACAGGAAAUUGCAGAGGUUAUUCGACCAAUUCAGUGCAGAAAACUUUUAAAUGCAUGGAAAUGAGCAGGUUUCUGCCUCUGCUGCUGACGUUGAGAGGUCCUUAACUUUGCCUGACAGUCCUCGAUUGAUUGUUCUCGAACUCGCCUCCGCAGGCGAGGACCCCGUGGCGACGGAACCUCUCCAAACUUCGCUAUCCCUCACUGACCCCCUGUGACGACUUCACGGUCGCAGGAGGGCUAUGGAACUGCCAGUCUGCUACGCGGAAGGCUGACUUCAUUUCAGCCUACGCGUCCCUCUUCUCCCUACAUUUCCUUGCCCUCACUGAGACCUGGAUCACACCAGGCAACACUGCAACCCCUGCAGCCCUCUCCUCCUCCUUCUCCUUUCUCACGCCCUCCGC